GUAGGUGGCAAGCGUUGUCCGGAAUUAUUGGGCGUAAAGCGCGCGCAGGCGGUUCUUUAAGUCUGAUGUGAAAGCCCACGGCUCAACCGUGGAGGGUCAUUGGAAACUGGAGAACUUGAGUACAGAAGAGGAAAGCGGAAUUCCACGUGUAGCGGUGAAAUGCGUAGAGAUGUGGAGGAACACCAGUGGCGAAGGCGGCUUUCUGGUCUGUAACUGACGCUGAGGCGCGAAAGCGUGGGGAGCAAACAGGGAUUAGAUACCCUGGUAGUCCACGCCGUAAACGAUGAGUGCUAAGUGUUAGGGGGGUUUCCGCCCCCUUAGUGCUGCAGCUAACGCAUUAAGCACUCCGCUGGGGAUACGGCCGCAAGGCUG
rnacentral:rRNA from 1 species